UACAGAGGGUGCAAGCGUUGUUCGGAAUUAUUGGGCGUAAAGCGCGUGUAGGCGGCUUAGCAAGUCGGGCGUGAAAGCCCUCGGCUCAACCGAGGAAGUGCACCCGAAACUGCUGAGCUUGAGUGCCGGAGAGGAACGCGGAAUUCCAGGUGUAGCGGUGAAAUGCGUAGAUAUCUGGAGGAACACCGGUGGCGAAGGCGGCGUUCUGGACUGCAACUGACACUGAGGCGCGAAAGCGUGGGGAGCAAACAGG
rnacentral:rRNA from 1 species